rnacentral:rRNA from 1 species
UGGUGGAGUGAUUUGUCUUGUUAAUUCAGUUAACGAACGAGACCUUAACCUACUAACUAGGCUAUAGGCUAGCUUUACGGCUAGUCAGUUUCUAUGGAGUGGUUCGUAUGAGCCAUUUCUUGAAACCUAUAAUAUGGAAUUGCAUCUUCGGGUGUAAUUCCUGCUUCUUAGAGGGACAAUACUUCGUUUAUAUUAGAGUAAGGAAGUUUAAGGCAAUAACAGGUCUGUGAUGCCCUUAGAUGCCCUGGGCA